rnacentral:rRNA from 1 species
GCGCGUAGGUGGUAGUGCAAGUCGUGGGGUGGAAUCCGUAUGGCUUAACCAUAGAAUUGCCUUGGAAACUGUAUUACUUGAGUCAGUGAGGGGAGGGUAGAAUUCCUGGUGUAGCGGUGAAAUGCGUAGAUAUCAGGAGGAAGGCCUGUGGCGAAGGCGGCCCUCUGGCGCUGAACUGACACUGAGGCGCGAAAGCGUGGGGAGCAAACAGGAUUAGAUACCCUGGUAGUCCACGCCCUAAACGGUGGGCACUAGGUGUAGGGCUCGUAAGGGUUCUGUGCCGAAGCGAAAGCAUUAAGUGCCCCGCCUGGGGAGUACGGCCGCAAGGUUGAA